rnacentral:rRNA from 1 species
CUGCAGCCCGAGUGGUGAUCGAUUUUAUUUAGCCUAAAGCGUCCGUAGCCGGACUAGUAAACCCUUGGGUAUAUUGGGCAGCUUAACUGUCCAAAUUCCGAGGGGACUGCUAGUCUUGGGACCGGGAGAGGUCAGAGGUACUCAAGGGGUAGGGGCUAAAUCCUGUAAUCCUUUGGGGACCACCAGUGGCGAAGGCGUCUGACUAGAACGGAUCCGACGGUAAGGGACGAAACCCUGGGGCGCGAACCGGAUUAGAUACCCGAGUAGUCC